rnacentral:lncRNA from 1 species
AUGUAAACAUCAUUAUUUGCUUUUAUUAUGUCUUGUAAUUUCUCACUGGAAAGGCAAUUUUCAAGGAGAUGUUUUUGGAUGCCUGGUGGCACCAGGACCAACUUUUUGGAUGUUGCCAAACUCUCUGUUGCUUUUUCUCUUGAGAAGAAGAAAUGGCUCUACUUCCUUCAGUGUCUCGAGAGGGGGAAGGGGAAGCUGAAGCCUCCGACUCUCGUGCGCCUAGCCAGCACAUCAAGAUGCAGCCAGAGCCAUUCUGAUGAGUUAUUUGUACAAUCGGACGGAUUUUCUCAGAAUAUGAUAUACCUCAGAAGAGCGGCAACAUCCCAGAUGGUAUCUUCAAUGAGGUAUCUGAAUGGCCGUUAAUUCCAAAUCAAUGUGAUUACUCAGAGAUGAAGCUUCUCUGAGGAUGGCUGAGCAAGACACUGAUCUGCGAGUAAACAGAAUGUCAUUAGGAAUCAUUUUAUUUCUGUUCCUUUAGCAGAGCAGUAUUUGGUUUUCUCCCAGAUCCACUGGGAUAACCAGCAUCCACAACUUUAUGAAGAAAUAAGAAAGAAAAUAAAACAAGAAAGUGAAAGG